UUCUGGGAAGUUUUUUGAUUGUGGAAUAAUUAAUUUUGCUAUAAAAUUUUUAUAGUUAUCUUGGAAACUGGUUAAGAAGAGGAACUUUAGUUACUAAGGUAUGUCUAUAAUUUACAUAUAUUUAUGUAUCUUUUAUUGAAGCCAAAGGUCAAGAUUCAGUCAAACCAGGGAACUCAUCAAAUCAUGACCACUGGCAGUUUUUGUAUGGUCUUGUUCCUGAAUAGCUGUGUUUUUUCCUUCCCUGAGAAAGUGACCUGUCUUCCCUCUACUUUUAGUAAGUCAGUUCUGAUUUAUAUUUGGAGUCAUGGCACAGUACUAGAUGAUUCAAGCAGAGGAAGAAAAAAGAUCUGUGGCACUUUAUUUUCCACUUUCCUCUGAUAAAAG
rnacentral:lncRNA from 1 species